rnacentral:rRNA from 1 species
GUACACUCCUGCGGGAGGCAGCAGUGGGGAAUAUUGAACAAUGGGCGCAAGCCUGAUCCAGCCAUGCCGCGUGAGUGAUGAAGGCCCUAGGGUUGUAAAGCUCUUUCACCGGUGAAGAUAAUGACGGUAACCGGAGAAGAAGCCCCGGCUAACUUCGUGCCAGCAGCCGCGGUAAUACGAAGGGGGCUAGCGUUGUUCGGAUUUACUGGGCGUAAAGCGCACGUAGGCGGACUAUUAAGUCAGGGGUGAAAUCCCGGGGCUCAACCCCGGAACUGCCUUUGAUACUGGUAGUCUUGAGUUCGAGAGAGGUGAGUGGAAUUCCGAGUGUAGAGGUGAAAUUCGUAGAUAUUCGGAGGAACACCAGUGGCGAAGGCGGCUCACUGGCUCGAUACUGACGCUGAGGUGCGAAAGCGUGGGGAGCAAACAGGAUUAGAAACCCUAGUAGUCCCA